CAGAUCAUUUCGCAACAGUCUUUCUUUUAUCCAACAUAUUUUGUUCUAGACGGCGACGCCGUCGCUUCGCAUUUCUUUCGCUCUUCCGCGCAUGCUCAUUGGUCUGAAGUUGACUGUUGUGUACACGGCGUUCUGUUUUGUGUCGUGCUUUUGUGCUUUUUCUACCAACCAGUGUUGGAGAAAACAAGUCUGGAAUUUUUUCAGCGCUCUAAGAAAUGAUGCCUCUCAAUCGGUACUUCUCUUUGUCACUGGAAACUCUAAAGUGCCGGGACAAAUAUAGUAUGUGACGUGAAUUUGUGAUGCGGUGGUUGCCAUGUUAGUGUCAUCUGCAGUGCUGCGGUUGAGGCCGCAUCAAAGAAUUGUUUUUCGCUGUAUAUCCACGCUGUUGUGACUAUGGAGAGUUAGACACUGUUUGGUUAUUGGCGGCAAAGUAUGUCUUGCUGCGGCGCAAGGAUCCUUGUCUUGGCGAUUUGCAUCAUUCAGCUGAUCGCAACAUUCCAACGCCAAGUCUUCGACUUCUUGGGGUACAUGUGGGCGCCGAUCCUGGCGAACUUCUUCCAGAUCAUAUUCGUCAUCUUCGGUUUCUUCGGAACGUACCACUACCGGCCAAGAUAUGUUGUUGCCUACAUCAUCUGGACACUCUUGUGGAUUGGAUGGAAUCUUUUUGUCAUCUGCAUUUACAUGGAAAUCGGCGCCCUGAACAGGGAUUCUAGCAUUCUGAAUAUGGGCACUGGAAGCCGGAGUUGGUGGGAGGCGAACGGCUUUGGUUGUGUGGCCAUCUUCAACUACAGCUCUUCCGAUGACAUCUUGGCUGUCACCAGGCCUGUAUCAGUGACGGGAUGCCUACUUGCAUACUACUAUGUUGAGUGCAUUCAAGCUGGCGUGCAGUGCCUGCUAGCGUUUGUGGGCUUUGUUGGAGGCUGCUACCUGAUCUACCUUUACACUCAGGAAGAUGAUUCAUUUGCACCCAGAAGAAGAAACAGCAAAAGAAAAACGCUGAACAGCCUGCCUUAUAGCAUCGAGUUCCGUACUGACCCACCUGCCACCGAUGGUGGCGGUCCCUCCAUGGGCUCUGGAUUGGGCCGUGCACCCAUGACCCCCCGCCGUGUGAAGCGACGUUCAACACGGUCCAAGCGGUCGACGGGCCAGGCACAGUACCAGAAUCCCGUGACACGUCUGCUUGACAGGUCCCUAGACACAUCAAGCAAUGACAGCUAUGCCCACUUUGGGGGUCAGUGCAACCCAGUUUACCUGGGAUCCCGCACCAGCCUCCACUCGCUGUAUGGCAAGGCCAACCCCAACCUCAGCGGGCCUCUUCGAACAACCCACCAGCAUGAUGCAACCACAGGGCUGCCUUCUACAAGGCACUCUACAAGGGGGCGCCACCAGCCCUACGUGGACAGCUCUGAGACAAUGAUAUAAGUUGUUUUGAACAGUAUGUGCACAUUGUGCGAGCGAAAAAGUGUGUGCGCGUAGAGCUGUGCUCUGUACUGAGAGGCUAAAUUUGGUUCCUUUCUGCUGGGUCUUUGGGUAGCAGUGCUUGACCAGUCCUACAACCUGUCAUAUGCACAUUGGCAAGCAAUAUAAAAUGAAUAACUAGAUAGUGAUAUGUAGGAUAGAGUAUUCAGGUUCUAACUCUUAACCUGAAGGUCAGCAGAAGAUAGGAUGUCCUAGGCUUACAUGUAGUAUUUGCUUGAGGUUAGCUAGUAAGCUUUAAAUUUGUGAUGGAAUCGAGUGUCAUACCUCGUACUGCUCACCAGUGUGCAGCCUUUGUUCUCAUGUAUGGUUUGUAACUUGUACUUCACUGAAAGGAGCUCUUAGUAUUGUUCUUAUACUGCUGGAAUGCAUUUCCGAGAGCAAAUUGCUGUUGCGAAUCAGCUACACUGUGCUCACAUUGGAUAAAAAUAUUGACCAGAAUGCUUUUAUUUUAAACAUUUGUUGCCAUAAACGUCUCCCUACUGUACAGCCAUUUUUACAAGAAACAUUUCAUGCAUUCUACACACUGUGACAAGACGUCCCUGAGCGCAACCACGCCAUACCAUGUUUCUGCAUUGCACUUGUGUAAUUGACUUUGUCAGGAACAUAGAUUUUUUUUUUUACUUGCUGCAUUUCUUGUAGUAGCAAACAGUCUUGAUUCUGUCAUACGUUUCAUUCUGAUGGCUACAAAUGGCAACCCUACUUGCUAACUAUGCUCAGCAUUCUCGUUCGUAAACUGUGAAAUGUCAUUGAAUCUCUCUUGCACAACUGGACAUUUGGUUGAGCCUUUGCAGGUUGUUUGGCAGUA
rnacentral:misc_RNA from 1 species